rnacentral:rRNA from 1 species
UACGUAGGUGGCGAGCGUUGUCCGGAUUUACUGGGCGUAAAGAGCGCGCAGGCGGUCGUUCAAGUCGCGUGUGAAAGCCCCCGGCUCAACUGGGGAGGGUCACGCGAUACUGAUCGACUCGAAGGCAGGAGAGGGUAGUGGAAUUCCCGGUGUAGUGGUGAAAUGCGUAGAUAUUCGCAAGAACACCAGUGGCGAAGGCGGCUAACUGGUCCGGUUCUGACGCUGAGGCGCGAAAGCGUGGGGAGCAAACAGG